rnacentral:rRNA from 1 species
CAGUCGCCACGGUAAUACGAGGGGAGCUAGCGUUGUUCGGAAUUACUGGGCGUAAAGCGCGCGUAGGCGGCUUUUUAAGUCAGAGGUGAAAGCCCGGGGCUCAACCCCGGAAUUGCCUUUGAAACUGGAAAGCUAGAAUCUUGGAGAGGUCAGUGGAAUUCCGAGUGUAGAGGUGAAAUUCGUAGAUAUUCGGAAGAACACCAGUGGCGAAGGCGACUGACUGGACAAGUAUUGACGCUGAGGUGCGAAAGCGUGGGGAGCAAACAGGAUUAGAUACCCGAGUAGUCCCUGUCUCUUAUAU